rnacentral:rRNA from 2 species
AAUGGGUCAGCGACUUAUAUUCUGUAGCAAGGUUAACCGAAUAGGGGAGCCGGAGGGAAACCGAGUCUUAAUUGGGCGUUAAGUUGCAGGGUAUAGACCCGAAACCCGGUGAUCUAGCCAUGGGCAGGUUGAAGGUUGGGUAACACUAACUGGAGGACCGAACCGACUAAUGUUGAAAAAUUAGCGGAUGACCUGUGGCUGGGGGUGAAAGGCCAAUCAAACCGGGAGAUAGCUGGUUCUCCCCGAAAGCUAUUUAGGUAGCGCCUCGUGAAUUCAUCUCCGGGGGUAGAGCACUGUUUCGGCUAGGGGGCCAUCCCGGCUUACCAACCCGAUGCAAACUGCGAAUACCGGAGAAUGUUAUCACGGGAGACACACGGCGGGUGCUAACGUCCGUCGUGAAGAGGGAAACAACCCAGACCGCCAGCUAAGGUCCCAAAGUCAUGGUUAAGUGGGAAACGAUGUGGGAAGGCCCAGACAGCCAGGAUGUUGGCUUAGAAGCAGCCAUCAUUUAAAGAAAGCGUAAUAGCUCACUGGUCGAGUCGGCCUGCGCGGAAGAUGUAACGGGGCUAAACCAUGCACCGAAGCUGCGGCAGCGACGCUUAUGCGUUGUUGGGUAGGGGAGCGUUCUGUAAGCCUGCGAAGGUGGCCUGUGAGGGUUGCUGGAGGUAUCAGAAGUGCGAAUGCUGACAUAAGUAACGAUAAAGCGGGUGAAAAGCCCGCUCGCCGGAAGACCAAGGGUUCCUGUCCAACGUUAAUCGGGGCAGGGUGAGUCGACCCCUAAGGCGAGGCCGAAAGGCGUAGUCGAUGGGAAACGGGUUAAUAUUCCCGUACUUGGUGUUACUGCGAAGGGGGGACGGAGAAGGCUAUGUUGGCCGGGCGACGGUUGUCCCGGUUUAAGCGUGUAGGCUGGUUUUCCAGGCAAAUCCGGAAAAUCAAGGCUGAGGCGUGAUGACGAGGCACUACGGUGCUGAAGCAACAAAUGCCCUGCUUCCAGGAAAAGCCUCUAAGCAUCAGGUAACAUCAAAUCGUACCCCAAACCGACACAGGUGGUCAGGUAGAGAAUACCAAGGCGCUUGAGAGAACUCGGGUGAAGGAACUAGGCAAAAUGGUGCCGUAACUUCGGGAGAAGGCACGCUGACACGUAGGUGAAGUGAUUUACUCACGGAGCUGAAGUCAGUCGAAGAUACCAGCUGGCUGCAACUGUUUAUUAAAAACACAGCACUGUGCAAACACGAAAGUGGACGUAUACGGUGUGACGCCUGCCCGGUGCCGGAAGGUUAAUUGAUGGGGUCAGCGCAAGCGAAGCUCCUGAUCGAAGCCCCGGUAAACGGCGGCCGUAACUAUAACGGUCCUAAGGUAGCGAAAUUCCUUGUCGGGUAAGUUCCGACCUGCACGAAUGGCGUAAUGAUGGCCAGGCUGUCUCCACCCGAGACUCAGUGAAAUUGAACUCGCUGUGAAGAUGCAGUGUACCCGCGGCAAGACGGAAAGACCCCGUGAACCUUUACUAUAGCUUGACACUGAACAUUGAGCCUUGAUGUGUAGGAUAGGUGGGAGGCUUUGAAGCGUGGACGCCAGUCUGCGUGGAGCCGACCUUGAAAUACCACCCUUUAAUGUUUGAUGUUCUAACGUGGACCCGUUACCCGGGUUGCGGACAGUGUCUGGUGGGUAGUUUGACUGGGGCGGUCUCCUCCUAAAGAGUAACGGAGGAGCACGAAGGUUGGCUAAUCCUGGUCGGACAUCAGGAGGUUAGUGCAAUGGCAUAAGCCAGCUUGACUGCGAGCGUGACGGCGCGAGCAGGUGCGAAAGCAGGUCAUAGUGAUCCGGUGGUUCUGAAUGGAAGGGCCAUCGCUCAACGGAUAAAAGGUACUCCGGGGAUAACAGGCUGAUACCGCCCAAGAGUUCAUAUCGACGGCGGUGUUUGGCACCUCGAUGUCGGCUCAUCACAUCCUGGGGCUGAAGUAGGUCCCAAGGGUAUGGCUGUUCGCCAUUUAAAGUGGUACGCGAGCUGGGUUUAGAACGUCGUGAGACAGUUCGGUCCCUAUCUGCCGUGGGCGCUGGAGAACUGAGGGGGGCUGCUCCUAGUACGAGAGGACCGGAGUGGACGCAUCACUGGUGUUCGGGUUGUCAUGCCAAUGGCACUGCCCGGUAGCUAAAUGCGGAAGAGAUAAGUGCUGAAAGCAUCUAAGCACGAAACUUGCCCCGAG